rnacentral:rRNA from 1 species
CAGCAGCCGCGGUAAGACAGAGGAUGCAAGCGUUAUCCGGAAUGAUUGGGCGUAAAGGGCUCGCAGGCGGUUUCUUAAGUCUGAUGUGAAAGCCCCCGGCUCAACCGGGGAGGGUCAUUGGAAACUGGGAAACUUGAGUGCAGAAGAGGAGAGUGGAAUUCCACGUGUAGCGGUGAAAUGCGUUGAGAUCGGAAAGAACACCAACGGCGAUAGCACUCUGCUGGGCCGACACUGACACUGAGAGACGAAAGCUAGGGGAGCAAAUGGGGUUAGAUACCCCAGUAGUCCCUGUCUCUUAUAA